UUUGUUCACUUUUCCCUCUAACACUCCUGACUCCCAACUCCCUCGGAACACAAUUCCCCUUUCCCUCUAAAUUUUUUCACUUUUCCCUCUUAACACUCCCAACUCACGCCAACUGACAACACGCAACUAAAGAGAAAAGCGACUAAAGAUCAAGACAAUUGAAAAAAAGAAUACCUAACUUUCUAAGUGAGACCUGGGAGAGUGAGAGGCUGGGCAGCGGCAGCAGAGCAAUAGCAGAAGCAGGAAUUCGAACCCCACAGGUGUUCUCGACAUUGACAGCGUGCAUAGACAAGAAUUUAUUGCGUGGUUUGAAAAAAGAAUCACCAACUUAUAUAAUACAAGGCAAGUUGAUGGGCAUAUGUUUUCAUUAGCUCAGGGCCCUGAGAAAAGGGCUAUUUUUUUAUCGAGGUUACAAUGUUAAUGGGUUCAGAUUUCAUACAAAUCAAUGUGAUGAAAGUAAAAGAGCACAAAAUAAUGGAGUUAUGGUGAGAGGGGAGGAUCAAAUUUUCAAUGUGCUUUAUUAUAGACAACUAACAAACAUUGUUGAACUUCAAUAUGCUGAAGGGAACAAAGUUGUGUUCUUUAAAUGUGAUUGGUGUGAUGUAUCUCGUGAAGGAAUUGGUUAUAACUUAUAAGAGGGAUCGGCACGGAACCAUUAUUGUGAAUACAUCACGAAAGUUGAAAACUGUAGAGCCAUUUGUAUUAGCAUGUCAAGCAACUCAAGUUUACUAUGUUAAUGGAAUAAAAGAUCCCACAUGGAAUGUUGUGAUUGAAACGAAGCCACGAAACUUUUAUGAAAUGCCAUCAGAUGAAGAAGAGCCAUACCAAGAAGAAGAAAAUUUACACUGUAAUGCAAAUGUGCUGCAAGAAGAAAAUGAGGAUGAUGAUAUAGAUUGGAGGAGUGGUGUUGAGAAUAUGAUAAUCGAGUGACUGUUAGGGGUGAGAAUGCAAUGCAGCUUUUGGAGAGCAGUUUGAAAGUGAAGGAAUAUGAGUUGCUGUGAAGGAACUUUAGUGAUACUGGAUGUUUUGGGUUUGGUAUUCAGGAGCACAUUGAUUUGGGAAUCAACCCAACCUAAGAUGCAUGUUUACUGUUUUUAAAGAGUCCUUGCCUGCCUAGGUGCCAACAUUCUGCUUCCAAGGCCAUGCUUCCCAUCCUAUGGUGCUCAUGCCUCAUCUAACAAUCUUGAAGUCCGUUAUUUUGAUCUGAUUCCAGAAAAGGGUUGGGAGGUUGACAUUGAAAGCAUAGAAGCUCUUGCUGAUGAGAAUACUGUUGCGAUGGUUAUCAUAAACCCUGGCAAUCCUUGUGGAAGUGUCUAUACACACCAACAUUUAAAGAAGGUAGGUUAAACCAUUAAUGUACUUAACUAGGCAACAUUAAGUCUUAACUUCAACUCCAAUCCUAAUUCACAACUUUACCUCCUUAGCCAAGGUGUUCUCAGGGGACGAGUAAAAUCUUGACCUUUAAUAUAUCAACUACAAUCGACUCAAAAAAUAGCAUUCAAAAUUUACCUCCUUACCUGAUUUCUUUAUCAUUUGAGCCAAUGUCUAUUUGGAAGUAGAGUCAAAUUUGUUUUGAGAAUAUCAAAAUGUCUAUAAGUUCAUAAUAAGAAUGACUUAAAGCUUUUAGUGGCGAAACAACGAUUAAAUUUUAGUUUAUUUUGCUAGACUCUCAUAUGAUCUUGUUACUUACAUGUAACACAAUGGUGGAUUUAAUGGUUUAGAAACAUUUCUGCAAUAAGCGUGAGUUUUCAUAUGAUCUUUUUUUGCUCGCUCACGUUCUCGAUUAGCUUCUCCAUGGAGUUUGUAUUACUUUUUAGCUUAAGCAUGCCGUUCUCUGUGGGGGUGUUGUUUACAAUAGAGGUCGAGCACUAGUUGGAAGACGUGGGCGGUCAUCAUCCUACUUUGGAUCACCUAGUCCACACAAGUUACCUCAGAGAUCAAGGAGUCGUAGCCUGAGAAGCUUGGAUGGCUCUUCCUCUGCCCCUGGGAUGGAGGGUGAGAUCAUAGAUUCAAGACUCACCUGGCAUUUGUCGAACUUUGCAAUGAAGAAAAAUAAAUUUACUACUCACUUUUAUGGGUAGAGAGGAGGAUAUGGGGUUUGUGGUCAUAAUAUAAUUUUAUAUAUUUGGCCUACUCUCCUGUCCUCUCCUCUCCCCCCAUCUCUCUUAAUCCAAACAUGGGAUUUCAACACGAUGAAUUUCAUUCUUAUGUGCAAGGUAUAUGAGCUUGCAAGAUGACCUUCCUUCAAUUUUCACUUGAUGAGUCCAAGAUGAAAAUGUCUUUGUUGUGUCCCCCAGCCCCAGAUCAAAUUAGCAUUUUCAAUAACAUCUAGUUUAAGUUCAUAUCAAUAUUUAUACUCCAGAACUAUUGGAAAUUAAACUCCAAACUAUUAAAUGCUUGUUCCCUUGGGAAUUUUGAUUUCCAAAUGGGACUCUCAAUGUGAUAUGGAGAAGGUAAAAUAUUUUGGUGGUUGCACUUGGGAAAAAUAUUUAAGUGGGAGUUUUUUCAGGUAUAUAACAUUAAGUUGGGAAAUUUAUAGAAUUCAAAGAAAUGGAUAUCACUGGAGAAAAGGAGCUCAAUGGAAAUUUCCUACUACCAAAGAGGUAGUUUUAAAUUCUGUAAAAUACACAUGAGGGAGCAAGCUGUUGCUUUCCAAGAGGAGAUGGAAGUUGAGUUGGCAUUUGAGUUUCAAAAAUGGAUUAGAGGAUAUUUUAGGCAAUCAGGCUGGCUUUAGAUUUGGUUUGUACUUUGUAGUUCAAUAAAUAAGCACUGAUGAUGAUGAUAAUAACAUGAACAGGCUACAACUUGGGAAACUUCAGGUUGGUUAAUUCAUGGUUUACUGCUACUGCAGUGUUAUGUUGUCAUCAUCUUGGUUUGAGUCGACUUAACUGGCAUUUUCAUUAUGUAACCUUCACUGCUAAAUCAUAAUGUCUGUUCUACCAUUUCUUGUGGACUGCAUAACUUGCAUGAUUCCAGAGUGCUUCACUAGACUGUUUGGAAUUUUGUGGAUAUAUCAUAGGGUAUUGAUUCCCUUGGUCUCACUUUAUUGGCAAAGCUAUGUGUAUUAUUUAUCCAAAAUAAAAAUCAUAAAUCUCUAUACAUUUGUAGUUUCUCUUCUUGCUGUUGAUGUCAUGCGUUUUUUAUAAUACUGCAUUUUAUUCUUCGAGGAGACAUUUCUUAAUUUUUAUGCAAAUAUCAAAUCAUUUCAUUUAGAGCAUCAGAGGUUGUCCUGCCAUAAUAUUUCAAAUCUUUAAUGCAGCGAACCAUUUUUUAUAUCUUCAUGUGAAAUCAUUGUGUGUUGUGGUAAUGCUUGAUUUGUGAUGACUCUCAAACCAAAUAGUGUAUGUCUGCCAGUAAAAGCAAGUUAAAAAAAAAUGGAACGAUUUUAUUGUCCAAUUUUCCACAAAAAAAGAUUAUUGCUGGUGUGUUUAUCUUAUUUUACUUGAUUAUAACCCCUUUAGAGAUAGCCAACAAAAUCCUUAGGUGGCAUCAUUUUGGGUGAUUAUGCCACAUGAACAGAAUUAACAAGUAUCCUAACUAGGCAACCACUGCCAUGUAGUUGAGGUUAUAGUUUGUUGCAGCUAAAUAAUUUGAGAUUUUAGCCUUUUCUCCUUUUUGACAUUUUAUGUCAAUACGUGUUUCUUAAGAAGCAGAGUACAUAAACUUAAGGUGGCACUGGUGUAGUCAAAAGUCACAUGAAUAAAAAUAUUGAAUUUCCUCUAACCAGACUCAGUGGGAUAUUGUUGAACCCUGGUAGGAAAAA